rnacentral:rRNA from 1 species
GCACAAGCGGUGGAGCAUGUGGUUAAUUCGACGCAACGCGAAGAACCUUACCUGGGCUUGACAUCCCGAUCGCACCUUAUGGAAACAUAGGGGUCAGUUCGGCUGGAUCGGUGACAGGUGCUGCAUGGCUGUCGUCAGCUCGUGUCGUGAGAUGUUGGGUUAAGUCCCGCAACGAGCGCAACCCUUGUCCUUAGUUGCCAGCAUUCAGUUGAGCACUCUAAGGAGACUGCCGGUGUCAAACCGGAGGAAGGUGGGGAUGACGUCAAGUCCUCAUGGCCCUUAUGUCCAGGGCUACACACGUGCUACAAUGGCCGGUACAAAGGGGCGCAAGACCGCGAGGUGGAGCAAAUCCCAAAAAACCGGUCUCAGUUCGGAUUGGAGUCUGCAACUCGACUCCAUGAAGUUGGAAUCGCUAGUAAUCGCGUAUCAGCAUGACGCGGUGAAUACGUUCCCGGGCCUU